rnacentral:rRNA from 1 species
AAUCAACGCUGGCGGCGUGCCUAACACAUGCAAGUCGAACGCGAAAGUUCCUUCGGGAAUGAGUAGAGUGGCGUCCGGGUGAGUAACGCGUGGGUAAUCUACCCUUGGGUGGGAAUAACCAGUCGAAAGAUUGGCUAAUACCGCAUAAUGCAGCAGCUCGACAUCGAGACAGUUGUUAAAGCGCAAUCGCAAGGUUGCGCGCCUAAGGAGGAGCCUGCGUCNGUAUUAGCUUGUUGGUGAGUAAUGGCUCACAAGGCUGCGAUCAGUAGCGUGGUCUGGA